CCACAACAGAGGUCAUCACUCAUUCCUACGGGAAUAAAACAGUUUCAGGAAGGGAACCUGAGCCACCCUCUUCCCCAUCACAGACUAGGAAUAGUUCUGUAUCGGGCCCUAAAGAUGUUUCGAUCUCACUGCUUUCCUGCGCGCCGUCUCUUCGCGGAGGGAGUCAGGUCAACCUCCUGGAGCCCGAAAGCGAAUGACACAUUGGCACUGAUGACGUCAGAGCUACGAGCCCCUGGCUUGUGGCCCCAGUCGAUACAAAAACUCACUGGUCGAUAAAGCCCUUUUCAGAACACUUCUGUAAAUAGAAAUGGCUACAUGAAUACAUCCAUUGUGAUUACUGGACGACUGCUGGUGUAUGUCAUAACUAACUACAUGAGCGUCAGUCUGAAUAUUGUGUUGUAUUCCUAUGGUUGUGAGUUUAUAUUCUCAUCCCCCAAUUGAGCCUGGGGACAAAAUUAGUGGGUUUACUAUGACAAAGGUAGUGCAUACAGGACAUAAUUAGUGCCGUGUUGGGUUUUCAAUAGCAGACAUGGUAGAGGGGUUUCAAAGUUGAGACACAAAAAGUAAAGCAACAGACAACCGAAAUAUUCCUUUUUGAUUCCCUCUUUAUUUCAGAAAAACAGCAAUGUUGUUUCCCAGUCAGUUUCUGGCCCAUGCUAGGCCAUUGCACAGUGGCAAGCCAUCCACUCACAUGACAGAACAAGCCCCUAUAUACAGUACCGGUCAAAAGUUUAGACACAUACUCAUUCAAGGGUUUUUCUUUAUUUUUACUAUUUCCUACAUUGUAGAAUAAUAGUGAAGACAUCAAAUAUGAAAUAACACAUGGAGUCAUGUAGUAAACAAGAAAGUGUUAAACAAAUCAAAAUAUGUUUUAUAUUUGAGAUUCUUCAAAGUAGCCACCCUUUGCCUUGAUGACAGCUCCGCACACGCUUGGCAUUCUCUCAAUCAGCUUCAUGAGGUAGUCACCUGGAAUGCUUUUCCAACAGUCUUGAAGGAGUUCCCAAAUGUGCUGACCACUUGUUGGCUGCUUAUCCUUCACUCUGCAGUCCAACUCCUCCCAAACCAUUUCAAUUGGGUUGAGGUUGGGUGAUUGUGGAGGUCAGGUCAUCUGAUGCAGCACUCCAUCACUCUCCUUCUUGGUCAAAUAUCCCUUACACAGCCUGGAGGUGUGUUGGGUCAUUGUCCUGUUGAAAAACAAAUGACAGUCCCACUCAGCGCAAACCAGAUGGGAUGGCGUAUCACUGCAGAAUGCUGUGGUAGCCAUGCUGGUUAAGUGCCUUGAAUUCUAAAUAAAUGUCAAUUUCACCAGCAAAGCACCCCCACACUUCCUCAUCCAUGCUUCGCAGUGGGAACCACACAUGCGGAGAUCAUUCGUUCACCUACUCUGCAUCUCACAAAGACACGGCAGUAGGAACCAAAAAUCUAACAUUUGGACUCAUCAGACCAAGGGACAGAUUUCCACCAGUCUAAUGAAGGCCUGAUUCACGCAGUAUCCUCUGAACAGUUGAUGUUGACAUGUGUCUGUUACUUGAACUCUGUGAAGAAGAGCUGCCAUUUCAUUUUAUUUGGACUGCCAUUUCUGGGGUGCAGAUAAGUGCUGAUUUCUGAGGAAGAUAAAUUACUUAUCCUCUGCAGCAGAGGUAACUCUGGGUCUUCCUUUCCUGUGGCGGUCCUCA